CCUUAUCAAGAGCGGCGGAGGGAACAGGCCCUUUGAUGCCCGGCAACCUGCCUUGCGGCAAGGUGCUAAAUCCUGCGGCGGUUGAACCGGCCGGGAGAUGAGG
rnacentral:ncRNA from 1 species